rnacentral:tRNA from 1 species
GGGAAUGUGGCUCAGUGGUAGAGUGCUUGCCUCACAUGCAUGAGGCCCUGUGUUUGAUCCCUCAGCACCA